rnacentral:tRNA from 1 species
GCCUUCGUGGUGUAGUGGUCAACACGCUCGACGAGUAACUGAGACGUCCGUGGUUUGAUUCCCGACCAAGGCG